rnacentral:rRNA from 1 species
AAACUUGAGAGUUUGAUCCUGGCUCAGAACGAACGCUGGCGGCAUGCCUAACACAUGCAAGUCGAACGAACCCUUCGGGGUUAGUGGCGCAC